rnacentral:tRNA from 1 species
UCCGAAUUGGUGUAGUGGCUAACAUUUGACGCUCUCAACUAAUCAAUAGUGAUUAGAUGGCACCGUCAAGCCCGGGGUUCGAUUCCCCGAUUCGGAG